UUAAAUGGACCAAUUGAGGUCACAUGGAGUCAUGGAGAGCCUUACCCCUACCCUAAUGGGGUUGGAUUUAUGUGCUACAAUUGUUAUAAAAAAUAAAGGGUGGUGGUGUAUCUCGUCUAAGGGAGCAUCUUGACGGAAUAACUGGGAAUGUAGUGGAGUGUAAAAAUGUUCCACCAUAUAUUAAGAAACUAAUGGCAGAUGAAUUUGCAACAGGAAGAAUAAGAAGGAAGCGAAGUACUAAUCUUCGUCUCUAUGUUGAAAAGGAGGUGGCAACACAAAGGGUAUCUGGUAGGACAAGCAUCCCUCUUGAUGAAGAAGGGCAGAUUGAGAUGGCAAUGAGAGAGUCACUAAGGGAUUCUAAUUCUACCAUGCAGCAAGACAAUUCUUCACCUUUUAGCAAGUCUGUUUGUAAUGGGGCCGGUGCAUGGUUAUUCAGCUAAUCAUCAACUAGAUACUAUAAAGGUCCUGGAAGUUCUUCCAAUGCUCCUUUUGAUGUCGAUUUGGCUCGCAGUAGGGCCCAAGCACAACCUUGGGUGGACGUUAUGCUAGAGGGGGUUUCCAAAGAGCAGAUUGGGAAAGCUUGGGCAAAAUGGUUCCAUGCUAAUGAUAUUCCCGGAAGGAAAGCGAGCUGCCCAUACUUCCGCUCAGCAAUUAAGUUAACUCAACAAUUUGGUGAAGGAGUGUCAAUUCCACGUGGGAGAGAAAUAGAUGGUACCUUGCCGGAUAUGAAUUAUGCUGACAUGGAGGCUUACAUGGCUGAAUUCAUGGAUGAUUGGAAAUAUUAUGGGGUUACCAUCAUGUGUGAUUCAUGGACAGGCUGCAUGCUAUGAUGAGUGAAAAGAUAGGGGGAGCUGAUUUGGUGGAAUGCCACUAGAUUUGGCAUUUUUUUUAUUUUUCUUCAGAGUUUUUGGGAUAGACAAGAUAAGUUUAAGCAAUGGAUGGUAUCUGAUGACUAGGAGAACUGUGUGUGGGUUGGCCGGGCUGACCAUGAAUUCACAUAUGAUUGUUUGACCAGCAAAAAAUGGUGGAGUCAAAUGGAAGUGGUGUUAAAAGCUAUCUCACCAAUCUACUUUGUACUUCGUCAGCAACAGAAGAUCUAUUCUAUAUCUGCAUUCGUUCCAAAAAUGAUGAAAUCUAUGGCAGAAAUACGAGUCAAUUUAAGUGAUAAUACCAUCCAAAAAUAUCUGCAGAGGGUAUUGGAAAAAAGUCAAUGCAAGACUUGAGUAUCUUGUCAAUGAUACACUUAUGCUUGCAGGGAGGGUUAUUUGGAGGAGCGGAGGCUCGAAAAUCUGCUCUUAAUGGCCGGUGUAGUACAGGUAAUUGCAUUUUUAAUUUUUUUUGUAUGUGCAUUAUUUUGUUGCUUUCUUAUGUUUUGAUUCUUGUUUCAUUUACCAUCAUUUUCCUAGCUGAUUGGUGGGAUCAAUAUGGUGGAGACUGUAGUGAACUACAAGAGGUUGCACGUCGUAUUGUCUCACAAUGCAUGUCCUCUAGUGGGUGUGAGCGAAAUUAGAGCACGUUUGCCUUGGUGCACAUUAUAUUGAGAAAUCAAUUAAGUUAUGAUAAGCUUCACAAGUUGGUUUUUGUACAUUAUAAUUUGAAGUUGUGUAUCCAAACUUUCGUAACUGACAUGCAAAACCUUCAAGAAAUGCAAACCAACAAGGAGAGUGAAAGAGAUUCUGAUCCUUGUAGCAUCCUAAUAGAUGUGGCUAUGUAUGAUGAAGGUAACCCCAUCAUAGAUUGGUUGUGCACCUCUAGGAGUGAGUCUAUGCCGACUCUAGUUGAACGUGAUGACCGGAGGCCUGAAUCCCCUAAUCCUAGCAGAUUUGUUAUAGAAGAGUUAGGGAUUAGUGAUGAAGAGGUGACUGCAUUUAAAAAGAUGAUUGGUGGAAAAUGGGGUAAGAAAAGGAAUGAAGGAUUUGAAGAAAAUAUUUUCUCUGAUUAUGAAACAGAAUUGGAUCAGCAAGGUAGCCCUGUUUAUGUUGAGUCAGGGGAGAGUAGUUGUGAUGACAGUGAAGGCAAUGGUGAGUUUAAUUUUUUGAUGGGAUUCUGCAUAUUAUAUACUGCAGCUUUGCUGAAAUAUUAAUCUUUUUAAAGGUGAUGGUGAUGUUGUUCAUGCUUCUGGUGAUGCAAAUGAACUUGGAGAGGGAGGCUCUGGAGCUCAGGAAGGAGGUAAUGUUCCUGGUACCAGUACCUAAUAAUUUCUAUUCUCUUAUCAGCUGGUGAGGAGUAGAGAAUCUCUCUCCGUUCGAGAUCGACAAGGCUGAAGAAACAUUGUGUCAGGACCUUGUACUGAAGGUCAAGGUCAGAUUCGAGCAUCCAUGCACUAUGGAAAACAGAGUGAUUUAGUGACCAGAUUUUAAGGAUACAAAGCCAUGUUUUGGUUCUUGUCCUUAAUUACUUGUAAUAUUUUCGACAAUGUACUACUAUUUGCCCGGGUUUGAGCUUGUUGUUGUCGUUUCGUGUGCUUGUAAUAUUUAGGACCAUGGACUGAUUCUAUGUAGUAAUUGUUGGAACUUGGAACUAUGGAUGG